rnacentral:rRNA from 1 species
CCUACGGGAGGCAGCAGUGGGGAAUAUUGCACAAUGGGGGAAACCCUGAUGCAGCGACGCCGCGUGAGUGAAGAAGUAUUUCGGUAUGUAAAGCUCUAUCAGCAGGGAAGAAAAUGACGGUACCUGAUUAAGAAGCCCCGGCUAACUACGUGCCAGCAGCCGCGGUAAUACGUAGGGGGCAAGCGUUAUCCGGAUUUACUGGGUGUAAAGGGAGCGUAGACGGCAGAGCAAGUCUGAAGUGAAAUGCCGGGGCUUAACCCCGGAACUGCUUUGGAAACUGUGCAGCUAGAGUGCAGGAGAGGAAGGGGGAAUUCCUGGUGUAGCGGUGAAAUGCGUAGAUAUCAGGAGGAACACC